rnacentral:lncRNA from 1 species
GAUCGUCAGUUUACCCAUGUACAUUUUCUACCUGGCUUGAGAAUUCUAUUCUUUCUUUAAGAUAAUAAUAGUUUAAGAGUAGGUAACCUUGAUCUUAGGGCGUGAGAUUUCCUGGUGCUUUUGGAGGAUGUUAUUCUGCUGACAUUGGUUCACGUUUUUGAGGUCUAGCCAUGUGCAUUAUGGUCUUGUUGUUGGUUGGAAAUCUUUAUAUCGUGUACCUAAUUUCUUUCUAUGGUUGUUGAGUGGUUUUUGUUUUCCCUUUUUUGAGCUCUUGGGAAC